AUCGGAGCUCCACCGAAACCCUAGAGCGUUUCCUUCGGAUUGUAAGUCCAAGAACCGGAUAUAUAGAUAAAAAUAAAGGAAAAGCUAAAGUGGUGUAGAAGAAGGCGGCAAGGAGACGUUGAUGAUAUGUGUGUGUGUGGCUGUUUAUGGAAGCUUGGGGAUCUUGCUAGAAGAGUUUGGAAAUGUUACUUGCUAGUGCUCUUUUGAUUUCUGCCAUAGUAGAAUUACAUUGCCAUGCUAAGAAUUUUGUUAGAUGCUCAGUAUGUUUUGGGUGCAUGCUAGCAUUCUGUGAGAGUUUUGUUUUAUGAAAGGAGUUGCAUAUGAAGUUCGGAUUUGUUUAAAAUGCUCAGUAGUCUUAUGUGAAUGCUAAUAUUCUAUAUGAGUUUGCUUUGAUGGAAA